UACGAAGGGGGCUAGCGUUGUUCGGAAUUACUGGGCGUAAAGCGCGUGUAGGCUGCUCUGCAAGUCGGGUGUGAAAGCCCCGGGCUCAACCUGGGAAGUGCACUCGAAACUGCAGAGCUUGAGUCCUGGAGAGGAAGGCGGAAUUCUCGGUGUAGAGGUGAAAUUCGUAGAUAUCGAGAGGAACACCGGUGGCGAAGGCGGCCUUCUGGACAGUGACUGACGCUGAGACGCGAAAGCGUGGGGAGCAAACAGG
rnacentral:rRNA from 1 species